UAAUGAGUAGUUUAAGGAAAAGGAAAACAACAGAUUGUGGUUCUGUAAAUAGGGUUAAGUUAGCUCUCAUUAG
rnacentral:tRNA from 1 species